ACACCUCAACUCUUGUGGUUCGCCAUGAAGAGCUUGGACUUGGGGGCUUGCUGGUGCACAGCCGGCUCCUCUCAAAUGAAUUAGCCUGCCAGUGUUUGGUGGCGUCACGGGUGUGAUAACUAUUUACGCUUGUGGUUGCCUGCCAGGUAACCUUCGGUGACGGAGGUUCGCUGGAGCUUAUAAACGUCCCUCGAGGACAGCCUUUGAAC
rnacentral:misc_RNA from 1 species